rnacentral:tRNA from 1 species
AGCAGCGUGGCUCAGUGGAAAGAGCAUGGGCUUGGGAGCCAGAGGUCAUGUGUUCGAAUCCCAGCUCUGCCA